CCCUUAGAUGUCCUGGGCUGCACGCGCGCUACACUGAUGUGUCCAGUAAGCACCUAACCUCUUCCGAAAGGAACGGGUAACCUUUGCAAAGCACAUCGUGAUGGGGAUAGAUUAUUGAAAUUAUUAAUCUUGAACGAGGAAUUCCUAGUAAACGCAGAUCAUCAAUCUGCAUUGAUUACGUCCCUGCCCUUUGUACACACCGCCCGUCGCACCUACCGAUUGGAUGGUCCGGUGAAGCCUCGGGAUUGUGGUUCUUGCCGCUUUAUUGUGGCGUGACCGCGAGAACUUGUCUAAACCUUAUCAUCUAGAGGAAGGUGAAGUCGUAACA
rnacentral:rRNA from 1 species